rnacentral:lncRNA from 1 species
CAUUCGGCGCUCUUCCACAGACCGACGCUUCCCCGGUGCCACGUGCAGCGCCUCGUCCUCCGAGCUUCCAGACCUUCAGCUCCCAGUUCGGACGAGCUGGUGGUGAACGGAGUGCCCGGUAGUCGUUGCCACGUGAACGUGCUCCUGGACGUUCGUAGACGAGCAGUUUUUGCCUGGAAAUGGAGGGCAGAUCAGACCAACAAUGUCCACCGGCGUGACACCACCAAGCCACCGUAAGGGACUUUAUUAGAUAUCAGGCCAUCUGCUGAACCCGUGCAAAUAAUACUUCCAUCCACACGAGGGCUGCUUUAUUAAAAAACCUACACACGGCAUACUAGGCGAAUCCGCCGCGGGUAGAUCAUGGGCAGCUAUUUAGCGCCGCCUAGUGGUGUGAGUUUCCAUAUGUUCACUAGCGAGUCCCGUAAGUGGAACGGAAAGCCUGUCGCUGGACUCUGUACUGCCAUGCUGGGGACCUCUCCGCCAGGCCCAUGACCCGUCCACAACCCUCGCCAAGAGGUACAAAGUGGUCUAGAUUUGUUCCCAGUAUGGGUGCGGUGGGAUGCCGAUUUACAGCAUUAUCCAGAGCAACUUACAAUCAGUAGUUACAGGGACAGACACUCAGGGUUAAGUGUCUUGCUCAGGGACACGAUGGUAGUAAGUGGGAUUUGAACCUGGGUCUUCUGGUCCAUAGGCGAGUGUGUUACCCACUAGGCCACUACCAUCCUCUCCUACCACAGGCAGGUAGCCGCGUGGUCCUCAGGCUGGAGAUUCACCUGCUGCUGUGAUGCACCGUGGGGGGCGCGGACCCCAGUUAUAAAGAGCGCGGCGGACCCCUCCGCCAACGAAACCUCGAUAGACCUCCAGCAGGAGCUCCAUGGGCCACCUGAGCACGCGAGAGGUCGCCGCAUUGGGCGCGCCACCAUCCGCGACUGCGGCGUCAGGAACCCGGACGGAAGCUGCAGAGGUACGUGGCGAAUGCUUCUUCCAACUUUCUUCUAUACAUCUACGAACUUUGUCAUUCCAAAUAAAUCGGAGACG